UCUGUCUUGAUAGAUGAUUUAAAGACCUCGUUUCUCUAGAGAUGCUUUUCCUUUCCUUCCAGGCUGAGACCUUGAUUGAGAUGCAGGAUUCCCGGUCGCUGCUCUGGACCUUUGCGGCUCUUCAGAUGGAGCAGAACCUGGCCCGCUUGGAGCAGGAAGGCGAGGAGAAGCUGGCCGUGCUCUUGGCGGAGAGGGACCGGCUCCAGAGAGAAGCCCUGCGCAAGAAAGGCCUGUUGGCCGAGAAGGAGAGGCAGAGGCAGCUCGGCCAGGCCUUGGACGCACAGGUAGGCCACGGGAAGCCUUGGCUUCUUGUGGAAGGAGUCCUGGUUUGCUUUGGGUUUGGUGAAGGGGCUUCGGAGGAAAUGCAGAGUCCUGUGGGUGGACUACAGCUCCCAUCGUCCCCUGUCAUUGCCCCUCCGGUCCCUUUGGCUGGUCAUCAUGGGUCUGAGUGCCAAGUUGGGUACCUUCUAGAGCAGGGGUCCCCAAACUUUUAAAGCAGAGGGCCAGUCCACAAUUGUCAGGCACCAGGCUACAGAGCACCAAUAACCAUGCACAGAGACCAGAUUCUAUCUAAUAUCUUUAUUAAGGGAAUAUAUGAAGUUAAUAAAAACAAGUGUAGAAUAUAGUUCAGAAGUAGUCCUUUCAGGAAAGGUCAAAAGUAGUCCAGGAAAACAAUGUCCAAUAAGGGAUAUUAGAGUCCAAAGUUAUAAUCCAAUAACCGAAACACACACUUUGCCAAGCAAAGUGUGGGGAAAUGACAAGGUCCUUUAGUCCAAUGGAGCUUGACAACAAGGCUGAGAGCAAACUAGAUUCUUGGCGACAAGGCUGGAUACGUGGCAACGAGAGGCAAGGAACAAGAACAAGGUCCGUGGAAACAAGGAAAGCUGGAUGCAAGAACGAGGUCCGUGAAACAAGGCUUGGAACUUGGUCCUGGAGGCGCGGGCUGGAGUAGCAUAGUCCACACACGAUCUCACUCCACAAGGUGACGAAUUGACUCCGCAAGGAUUUCUUUGCGGGCAAACACCUAUAUAGGAUCUUGUUUUCCCGCCAAGGAACACUUUCCCUGGGGAACAAGAACCGAAACCUAUACUGUGUCCAGAUGCAUGACUCCUUAAAGUUUCCCAAGGGAAACAGACUUAAUCAGCUAAUUGUCUGGCAGCUAUCCUGGCGCUCCUGCGAGUCGCCUCUCGAGCGCCUCUAUCUUGAUUAUAAUAAUCCCGGCGAGAAAAUGGGGGAGAUUUCUGCUCAAGGCUUGUUUGGCUGACUUCCUGUGGACAAACAUCUCGCAGGUGCAAGGGCUCCAAUUCUGGCUGAAACGGUUGGAAACCCAAGUUUUCCUCUUCAUCUGUCACAACAGUACUAGGAACGGGACUACAUGGCCCAUGAGACAUCACAACAAUCCUUCAGACUGUGGAGGGGGCCGGAUUAUCAUUUGGAAAAAA
rnacentral:lncRNA from 11 species